rnacentral:rRNA from 1 species
GAGCGAUCAAGUGCCUUAAGAGCAUUCGGUGGAUGCCUUGGCGCUGAGAGGCGAUGAAGGACGUGGUACGCUGCGAUAAGCCUUGGGGAGCUGCGAACGAGCUUUGAUCCAGGGAUUUCCGAAUGGGGAAACCCACCUUCGACCUUCCGUAUGGCAGUUGCAGAUCAGCCUGGGCCUCGAGCCCGACGGGACACACAUCCCGGGAUGGUCUUCUGCGCCUGCCAUACGGUUGGUCAGAUGAAGGUAUCAGAUCCUGAAUCCAUAGGGGUUUGAAGCGAACCCGGGGAACUGAAACAUCUCAGUACCCGGAGGAAAGGACAUCAACGAGACUCCGUCAGUAGUGGCGAGCGAACGCGGAUCAGGCCAGUGCCUGUGUUGAGUUUACCGGAACGGUCUGGAAAGGCCGGCGAUAUGGGUGACAGCCCCGUACGGGACGGACGAUACACAGGACUCGAGUAGGGCGGGACACGUGAAAUCCUGUCUGAACAUGGGGGGACCACCCUCCAAGCCUAAGUACUCCUCAGCGACCGAUAGUGAACCAGUACCGUGAGGGAAAGGUGAAAAGCACCCCGACGAGGGGAGUGAAACAGCACCUGAAACCGGAUGCUUACAAACAGUGGGAGCUCAAGGUUCGUCCUGGGUGACCGCGUACCUUUUGUAUAAUGGGUCAGCGACUUAGAGUUACGAGCGAGCUUAAGCCGAUAGGUGGAGGCGCAGCGAAAGCGAGUCUGAACAGGGCGUUCAGUUCGUGGCUUUAGACCCGAAACCGAGUGAUCUAGCCAUGUGCAGGAUGAAGGUGGGGUAACACCCACUGGAGGUCCGAACCAGUGCCCGUUGAAAAGGUCUUGGAUGACGUGUGGCUAGGGGUGAAAGGCCAAUCAAACUCGGAAAUAGCUGGUUCUCCGCGAAAGCUAUUUAGGUAGCGCCUCGAGUGAAUACCUCACGGGGUAGAGCACUGGAUGGGCUAGGGCCGCCCACAGCGGUACCAAACCCAACCAAACUCCGAAUACGCAAGAGUACUGUUCGGGAGACACACGGCGGGUGCUAACGUCCGUCGUGGAGAGGGAAACAACCCUGACCGACAGCUAAGGCCCCCAAUUCGUGGCUAAGUGGGAAAGGAUGUGGGACUCCCAAAACAACCAGGAGGUUGGCUUAGAAGCAGCCAUCCUUUAAAGAAAGCGUAACAGCUCACUGGUCUAAAUAAGGGGUCCUGCGCCGAAAAUGUAACGGGGCUCAAGCCACGAGCCGAAGCUUCGGAUUCAUUCCUUCGGGGAUGAGUGGUAGCGGAGCGUUCCCUAGGCCU